AGAGUUUGAUCCUGGCUCAGGACGAACGCUGGCGGCACGCUUAACACAUGCAAGUCGAACGAGAGAAGAGGAGCUUGCUUUUCUGAUCUAGUGGCGGACGGGUGAGUAACACGUGAGCAAUCUGCCUUUCAGAGGGGGAUACCGAUUGGAAACGAUCGUUAAUACCGCAUAACAUAAUUGAACCGCAUGAUUUGAUUAUCAAAGAUUUAUCGCUGAAAGAUGAGCUCGCGUCUGAUUAGCUAGUUGGUAAGGUAACGGCUUACCAAGGCGACGAUCAGUAGCCGGACUGAGAGGUUGAUCGGCCACAUUGGGACUGAGACACGGCCCAGACUCCUACGGGAGGCAGCAGUGGGGAAUAUUGCACAAUGGAGGAAACUCUGAUGCAGCGGUGCCGCGUGAGGGAAGAAGGUUUUAGGAUUGUAAACCUCUGUCUUCAGGGACGAAAAAAGACGGUACCUGAGGAGGAAGCUCCGGCUAACUACGUGCCAGCAGCCGCGGUAAUACGUAGGGAGCGAGCGUUGUCCGGAAUUACUGGGUGUAAAGGGAGCGUAGGCGGGAUCGCAAGUCAGAUGUGAAAACUAUGGGCUUAACCCAUAAACUGCAUUUGAAACUGUGGUUCUUGAGUGAAGUAGAGGUAAGCGGAAUUCCUAGUGUAGCGGUGAAAUGCGUAGAUAUUAGGAGGAACAUCAGUGGCGAAGGCGGCUUACUGGGCUUUAACUGACGCUGAGGCUCGAAAGCGUGGGGAGCAAACAGGGUUAGAUACCCUGGUAGUCCACGCCGUAAACGAUGAUUACUAGGUGUGGGGGGACUGACCCCUUCCGUGCCGCAGCAAACGCAAUAAGUAAUCCACCUGGGGAGUACGACCGCAAGGUUGAAACUCAAAGAAAUUGACGGGGGCCCGCACAAGCAGUGGAGUAUGUGGAUUAAUUCGAAGCAACGCGAAGAACCUUACCAGGUCUUGACAUCGUAUGCAUAGCUCAGAGAUGAGUGAAAUCUCUUCGGAGACAUAUAGACAGGUGGUGCAUGGUUGUCGUCAGCUCGUGUCGUGAGAUGUUGGGUUAAGUCCCGCAACGAGCGCAACCCUUACUGUUAGUUGCUACGCAAGAGCACUCUAGCAGGACUGCCGUUGACAAAACGGAGGAAGGUGGGGAUGACGUCAAAUCAUCAUGCCCCUUAUGACCUGGGCCUCACACGUACUACAAUGGCUGUCAACAGAGGGAAGCAAAGCCGCGAGGUGGAGCGAACCCCUAAAAGCAGUCUUAGUUCGGAUUGUAGGCUGCAACCCGCCUACAUGAAGUCGGAAUUGCUAGUAAUCGCAGAUCAGCAUGCUGCGGUGAAUACGUUCCCGGGCCUUGUACACACCGCCCGUCACGCCAUGGGAGUCGGUAACACCCGAAGCCUGUAGUCUAACCGCAAGGAGGACGCAGUCGAAGGUGGGAUUGAUGACUGGGGUGAAGUCGUAACAAGGUA
rnacentral:rRNA from 1 species